rnacentral:rRNA from 1 species
GAUGAACGCUGGCGGCGUGCCUAAUACAUGCAAGUCGAACGAAACUUCUUUAUCACCGAGUGCUUGCACUUACCGAUAAAGAGUUGAGUGGCGAACGGGUGAGUAACACGUGGGCAACCUGCCCAAAAGAGGGGGAUAACACUUGGAAACAGGUGCUAAUACCGCAUAACCAUAGUUACCGCAUGGUAACUAUGUAAAAGGUGGCUAUACUACCGCUUUUGGAUGGGCCCGCGGCGCAUUAGCUAGUUGGUAGGGUAAAGGCUUACCAAGGCAAUGAUGCGUAGCCGAAUUGAGAGGUUGAUCGGCCACAUUGGGACUGAGACACGGCCCAAACUCCUACGGGAGGCAGCAGUAGGGAAUCUUCCACAAUGGGCGAAAGCCUGAUGGAGCAACGCCGCGUGGGUGAAGAAGGUCUUCGGAUCGUAAAACCCUGUUGUUAGAGAAGAAAGUGCGUGAGAGUAACUGUUCACGUUUCGACGGUAUCUAACCAGAAAGCCACGGCUAACUACGUG